rnacentral:rRNA from 1 species
GAUGAACGCUAGCGGCAGGCCUAAUACAUGCAAGUCGAGGGGCAGCAUGACUGUAGCAAUACAGUUGAUGGCGACCGGCAAACGGGUGCGGAACACGUACAGAACCUUCCUUCGAGCGGGGAAUAGCCCAGAGAAAUUUGGAUUAAUACCCCAUAGUAUAUUUGAAAGGCAUCUUUUAAAUAUUAAAGAUCUAUCACUUGAAGAUGGCUGUGCGGCUGAUUAGGUAGUUGGCGGGGUAACGGCCCACCAAGCCUGCGAUCAGUAACUGGUGUGAGAGCACGACCAGUCACACGGGCACUGGGACACGGGCCCGACUCCUACGGGAGGCAGCAGUAAGGAAUAUUGGUCAAUGGACGAAAGUCUGAACCAGCCAUGCCGCGUGGAGGAUGAAGGCCCUCUGGAUUGUAAACUUCUUUUAUAUGGGACGAAAAAAGGCUUUUCUAAGUCGUCUGACGGUACCAUAUGAAUAAGCACCGGCUAACUCCGUGCCAGCCGCCGCAGUAA